GACGAACGCUGGCGGCGUGCUUAACACAUGCAAGUCGAACGGAAAGGCCCUGCUUUUGUGGGGUGCUCGAGUGGCGAACGGGUGAGUAACACGUGAGUAACCUGCCCUUGACUUUGGGAUAACUUCAGGAAACUGGGGCUAAUACCGGAUAGGAGCUCCUGCUGCAUGGUGGGGGUUGGAAAGUUUCGGCGGUUGGGGAUGGACUCGCGGCUUAUCAGCUUGUUGGUGGGGUAGUGGCUUACCAAGGCUUUGACGGGUAGCCGGCCUGAGAGGGUGACCGGCCACAUUGGGACUGAGAUACGGCCCAGACUCCUACGGGAGGCAGCAGUGGGGAAUAUUGCACAAUGGGCGGAAGCCUGAUGCAGCAACGCCGCGUGCGGGAUGACGGCCUUCGGGUUGUAAACCGCUUUCGCCUGUGACGAAGCGUGAGUGACGGUAAUGGGUAAAGAAGCACCGGCUAACUACGUGCCAGCAGCCGCGGUGAUACGUAGGGUGCGAGCGUUGUCCGGAUUUAUUGGGCGUAAAGGGCUCGUAGGUGGUUGAUCGCGUCGGAAGUGUAAUCUUGGGGCUUAACCCUGAGCGUGCUUUCGAUACGGGUUGACUUGAGGAAGGUAGGGGAGAAUGGAAUUCCUGGUGGAGCGGUGGAAUGCGCAGAUAUCAGGAGGAACACCAGUGGCGAAGGCGGUUCUCUGGGCCUUUCCUGACGCUGAGGAGCGAAAGCGUGGGGAGCGAACAGGCUUAGAUACCCUGGUAGUCCACGCUGUAAACGGUGGGUACUAGGUGUGGGGUCCAUUCCACGGGUUCCGUGCCGUAGCUAACGCUUUAAGUACCCCGCCUGGGGAGUACGGCCGCAAGGCUAAAACUCAAAGGAAUUGACGGGGCCCCGCACAAGCGGCGGAGCAUGCGGAUUAAUUCGAUGCAACGCGUAGAACCUUACCUGGGUUUGACAUGGAUCGGGAGUGCUCAGAGAUGGGUGUGCCUCUUUUGGGGUCGGUUCACAGGUGGUGCAUGGCUGUUGUCAGCUCGUGUCGUGAGAUGUUGGGUUAAGUCCCGCAACGAGCGCAACCCUUGUUCACUGUUGCCAGCACGUUAUGGUGGGGACUCAGUGGAGACCGCCGGGGUCAACUCGGAGGAAGGUGGGGAUGACGUCAAGUCAUCAUGCCCCUUAUGUCCAGGGCUUCACGCAUGCUACAAUGGCUGGUACAGAGAGUGGCGAGCCUGUGAGGGUGAGCGAAUCUCGGAAAGUCGGUCUCAGUUCGGAUUGGGGUCUGCAACUCGACCUCAUGAAGUCGGAGUCGCUAGUAAUCGCAGAUCAGCAACGCUGCGGUGAAUACGUUCCCGGGGCU
rnacentral:rRNA from 1 species